rnacentral:tRNA from 1 species
GGGGUUGUGACUCAGUGGUAGAGCACUUACUUAGCAUGUGUGAGGCUCUGGGUUCAAUCCCCAGCACCA